CUGAUAUCUCAACUAUUAGGCUAUCGGGGGAUACUGCCAGGCUUGGAACCGGGAGAGGUAAGAGGUACUACAGGGGUAGGAAGUGAAAUCUUGUAAUCCCUGUGGGACCACCUGUGGCGGAAGGCGUCUUACCAGAACGGGUUCGACGGUGAGGGACGAAAGCUGGGGGCACGAACCGGAUUAGAUACCCGGGUAGUCCCAGCCGUAAACGAUGCUCGCUAGGUGUCAGGCAUGGCGCGACCGUGUCUGGUGCCGCAGGGAAGCCGUGAAGCGAGCCACCUGGGAAGUACGGCCGCAAGGCUGAAACUUAAAGGAAUUGCGGGGGAGCAC
rnacentral:rRNA from 1 species